rnacentral:rRNA from 1 species
CCUACGGGGAGCAGCAGUGGGGAAUAUUGCACAAUGGGGGAAACCCUGAUGCAGCAACGCCGCGUGAAGGAAGACGGUUUUCGGAUUGUAAACUUCUGUUCUUAGUGAAGAAUAAUGACGGUAGCUAAGGAGCAAGCCACGGCUAACUACGUGCCAGCAGCCGCGGUAAUACGUAGGUGGCAAGCGUUGUCCGGAAUUACUGGGUGGAAAGGGAGCGCAGGCGGGAAGCCAAGUCAGCUGUGAAAACUACGGGCUUAACUUGUAGACUGCAGGUGAAACUUGUUUUCUUGAGUGAAGUAGAGGUUAGGGGAAGUCCGAGUGGAGCGGGGAAAUGCGUUGAUAUUCGGAGGAACACCGGUGGCGAAGGCGGCCAACUGGGCUUUAACUGACGCUGAGGCUUGAAAGUGUGGGGAGCAAACAGGAUUAGAUACCCUGGUAGUC